UGCCCGGGGGAGUUUACGUGCUAUGGAUAAAACGGGAGACCAUGUAAGGAUGGCCAAUCUUCAAAUUACCUACAAAAUUAAUAAGCUUGUAAUUAUCGUGUGGCGAAUUGAUUUAUUGUUAUGGCUCAUAAAUCAUAACAAAUGUAGACGGAAACUAAGAGACGUAGACCUUGACCUACAUAAUUAUCUUAAUCAUGUCUUGACCGAUUAUAAACGAAUAUGCAAAAAGAUGAAAAGUUUGUCAGAAACGUAGCAAGUGGAGGUUCAUGGUUCGUAAUGGUACGUACGUAUAUAUUUUAACAAUAACACACCAACAAACACUGCAUAUUAAUUUUUUAUGUGAUAAAUUUUAUUAUAAAUAACGAACAAUUUCAAACCCGCAUACCAAUCGU